AGUGAACGCUGGCGGUAGGCCUAACACAUGCAAGUCGAACGGCAGCACAGUAAGAGCUUGCUCUUACGGGUGGCGAGUGGCGGACGGGUGAGGAAUACAUCGGACUCUACUUUUUCGUGGGGGAUAACGUAGGGAAACUUACGCUCAUACCGCAUACGACCUACGGGUGAAAGCAGGGGAUCUUCGGACCUUGCGCGAUUGAAUGAGCCGAUGUCGGAUUAGCUAGUUGGCGGGGUAAUGGCCCACCAAGGCGACGAUCCGUAGCUGGUCUGAGAGGAUGAUCAGCCACACUGGAACUGAGACACGGUCCAGACUCCUACGGGAGGCAGCAGUGGGGAAUAUUGGACAAUGGGCGCAAGCCUGAUCCAGCCAUACCGCGUGGGUGAAGAAGGCCUUCGGGUUGUAAAGCCCUUUUGUUGGGAAAGAAAAGCAGCAGGUUAAUACCCCGCUGUUCUGACGGUACCCAAAGAAUAAGCACCGGCUAACUUCGUG
rnacentral:rRNA from 1 species